rnacentral:sRNA from 1 species
CUCCUCCUCCUCCUCAUCCUCUUUCUGCUCCUCCUCCUUGAAAAGAGCCAGAACUGGGAACUACACCCGCUCAUCGACGGAGCUCGGAGCAAACCCACCUCCACCCCCACCAUACCCAGCCCAUACAUGAGCCCCUGGGCUGAGCUGCGCGGCCCCGGCCAGGCAGACAGGCAGGGCACUGCUGUGCACAAUGCAGCGGUUUAGCUGAAUGUGAUUGCUCAGGCAGCUAGCCAGUCAGGCCCCACUGCGGAGUCCCGCGUGGGCAUCUCGGCCGGGCGCCCAGCCAGGAGCCAGCCGGUGGCCCACCAGCCAGCAUGGGCCCUGGGCGCCGCUAGUUAAAUCUUGAGCUCUGUUUGACCAAGCGGCCAAGGUUUCGGUCUAAGUACCACCCAGAUGAGGUGGGGAAGCGUCGGCAGGAGGCCCGGGGGGCCCUGCAAAACCGACUGAGGGUCUUCCUGUCCCUCAUGGAGACUGGCUGGUUUGAUAACCUUCUCCUGGACAUAGACAAAGCUGAUGCCAUUGUCAAGAUGCUGGAUGCAGCCGUGAUUAAGAUGGAAGGAGGCACGGAGAAUGAUCUCCGCAUCCUGGAGCAGGAGGAGGAGGAGGAACAGGCAGGAAAGCCUGGGGAGCCCAGCAAGAAAGAAGAAGGACGGGCUGGAGCAGGCCUGGGGGACGGGGAGCGCAAAACCAACGACAAGGAUGAGAAGAAGGAAGAUGGCAAGCAG